rnacentral:rRNA from 1 species
GAUGAACGCUGGCGGCGUGCCUAAUACAUGCAAGUCGAGCGAACAGACGAGGAGCUUGCUCCUCUGACGUUAGCGGCGGACGGGUGAGUAACACGUGGAUAACCUACCUAUAAGACUGGGAUAACUUCGGGAAACCGGAGCUAAUACCGGAUAAUAUAUUGAACCGCAUUGUUCAAUAGUGAAAGACGGUUUUGCUGUCACUUAUAGCUGGAUCCGCGCCGCAUUAGCUAGUUGGGAAGGUAACGGCUUACCAAGGCGACGAUGCGUAGCCGACCUGAGAGGGUGAUCGGCCACACUGGAACUGAGACACGGUCCAGACUCCUACGGGAGGCCGCAGUAGGGAAUCUUCCGCAAUGGGCGAAAGCCUGACGGAGCAACGCCGCGUGAGUGAUGAAGGUCUUCGGAUCGUAAAACUCUGUUAUUAGGGAAGAACAAAUGUGUAAGUAACUAUGCACGUCUUGACGGUACCUAAUCAGAAAGCCACGGCUAACUACGUG